AUGUCCUCCAUGUCACCCUCUCUCUGUGUGUGUGUGUGUGUGUCUGUCCGUCUGUGUGUCUUGCUGUCUCUCUCCUCAGGUGAAGUGUGGAGUGACAGGGCCCAGGGCUGCUCUUUCUUUCACCUUCUUGUCUCCAAAGUGCCAGGCGUUUCACGCAGGGUGAGAGACGUUACUGAGGUGUGUGUUAUUCUUGUUGUCGGCCUCCAGCCGGGAGCAGGAGUCAGCACAGCUAGUUACAUACACAGCGCCAUCAGCCUGUCAGUCAAGUCAGGAGUCGAAGAGUUACUGAGAGUUCAGUCCAUCUGUCUUCUCUCAAAUAAAGAGAGACUCCCUGCAAAUAUGUCUAAUCUUCCUUACCUCUCUUUCAUAACCAUCACUUUUCCCUCUCUCUGUGGGACAUGAUACAUUCGCUCCGUCAACUUGAGGCUUAUCGCUGUGUAUAAAGGGGUUCUGUGUUCUGUCAUAGAGGCAGGAGGCCAUAAACACAUAUGAGCUUCUCCCUCACUGUCAAGGAUUUCUGAGUUGUAAUUGGCUGAGAGCUGCACUGUCAGCUGAUUGGCCGGGCUGAGGAUGAAUGGCCACGCUGACAACCAAUGGGGCCAGAUGAGGGUGAGCCGGGUGAGAUAUGGGACACCGCAUUCUUGAGCACUAAUCAAAUCUUAGAAAAUUUCAAUGAUGGGUAUGUGUUAUGUUUGUUGAUUUGCCUUCAUUAGUCUUUACAAUGAGUCCAUGUUCUUAUGCAUUUUGUGCAUGUGAUGAAUCAUGUUGAUAGACGUCUGUAUAAAUCCUCAAUGUGUAAGAGUUUUUUUUUGUUUUUGUUUUUUUUGCCAGUGAGUGAAUCAGUUUGUAUCAAGAGUUCAUAUGCAGGUGGAACCAAGACAGGCCUCAAAAGAUUCAAACACAUUUUGCAGCAAGCUAAUAAAGUUUAUACUAAAGAGGUUCUGGGAUCA
ensembl:lncRNA